UACAGAGGUCCCAAGCGUUGUUCGGAUUCACCGGGCGUAAAGGGUGCGUAGGCGGUUGGGUAAGUCUGUCGUGAAAUCUCCGAGCCCAACUCGGAAACUGCGUCGGAUACUAUUCAACUCGAGGAAUGGAGGGGAGACUGGAAUUCUCGGUGUAGCAGUGAAAUGCGUAGAUAUCGAGAGGAACACCAGUGGCGAAGGCGAGUCUCUGGACAUUUCCUGACGCUGAGGCACGAAAGCCAGGGGAGCAAACGGG
rnacentral:rRNA from 1 species